UACGAAGGGGGGCUAGCGUUGCUCGGAAUUACUGGGCGUAAAGCGCACGUAGGCGGCUUGUUAAGUCGGAGGUGAAAUCCUGGAGCUCAACUCCAGAACUGCCUUCGAUACUGGCGAGCUUGAGUUCGGGAGAGGUGAGUGGAACUGCGAGUGUAGAGGUGAAAUUCGUAGAUAUUCGCAAGAACACCAGUGGCGAAGGCGGCUCACUGGCCCGAUACUGACGCUGAGGUGCGAAAGCGUGGGGAGCGAACAGG
rnacentral:rRNA from 1 species